GGGCCCGCACAAGCAGCGGAGCAUGUGGUUUAAUUCGAAGCAACGCGAAGAACCUUACCUAGACUUGACAUCUCCUGAAUUACCGGUAAUGCGGGAAGCCCUUCGGGGCAGGAAGACAGGUGGUGCAUGGUUGUCGUCAGCUCGUGUCGUGAGAUGUUGGGUUAAGUCCCGCAACGAGCGCAACCCUUAUUGUUAGUUGCUACCAUUAAGUUGAGCACUCUAGCGAGACUGCCGGGGUUAACUCGGAGGAAGGUGGGGAUGACGUCAAAUCAUCAUGCCCCUUAUGUCUAGGGCUACACACGUGCUACAAUGGCGAGUACAACGAGAAGCAAUACCGCGAGGUGGAGCCAAACUUGAAAACUCGUCCCAGUUCGGAUUGUAGGCUGAAACUCGCCUACAUGAAGCCGGAGUUGCUAGUAAUCGCGAAUCAGAAUGUCGCGGUGAAUACGUUCCCGGGCCUU
rnacentral:rRNA from 1 species